UACGUAGGUGGCAAGCGUUGUCCGGAUUUACUGGGCGUAAAGGGCGUGCAGGCGGUUUGUUAAGUCUAGGGUGAAAGCUCCCGGCUCAACUGGGAGAGGUCCUUGGAUACUGGCAGACUUGAGGAGGGUAGAGGAGAGUGGAAUUCCCGGUGUAGUGGUGAUAUGCGUAGAUAUCGGGAGGAACACCAGUGGCGAAGGCGGCUCUCUGGGCCCUACCUGACGCUGAGACGCGAAAGCGUGGGUAGCAAACAGG
rnacentral:rRNA from 1 species